GCACUGCUGGAGAGUCCUAAAAUAGGACGAAACGGUCGUUCAGUAC
rnacentral:hammerhead_ribozyme from 1 species